AGAAGCGCAUACGGUGGAUGCCUUGGCAGUCAGAGGCGAUGAAAGACGUGGUAGCCUGCGAAAAGCUUCGGGGAGUCGGCAAACAGACUGUGAUCCGGAGAUGUCUGAAUGGGGGAACCCAGCCAUCAUAAGAUGGUUAUCUUGUACUGAAUACAUAGGUGCAAGAGGCGAACCAGGGGAACUGAAACAUCUAAGUACCCUGAGGAAAAGAAAUCAACCGAGAUUCCCUUAGUAGUGGCGAGCGAACGGGGACCAGCCCUUAAGUUGUAUUGAGAUUAGCGGAACGUUCUGGAAAGGACGGCCAUAGUGGGUGAUAGCCCUGUACGCGAAAAUCCCUUUGCAAUGAAAUCGAGUAGGACGGGGCACGAGAAACCUUGUCUGAAUAUGGGGGGACCAUCCUCCAAGGCUAAAUACUACUGACUGACCGAUAGUGAACCAGUACCGUGAGGGAAAGGCGAAAAGAACCGCGGAGAGCGGAGUGAAAUAGAUCCUGAAACCGUAUGCGUACAAGCAGUGGGAGCCCACUUUGUUGGGUGACUGCGUACCUUUUGUAUAAUGGGUCAGCGACUUAUUUUCAGUGGCGAGCUUAACCGAAUAGGGGAGGCGUAGCGAAAGCGAGUCUUAAUAGGGCGUCUAGUCGCUGGGAAUAGACCCGAAACCGGGCGAUCUAUCCAUGGGCAGGUUGAAGGUUGGGUAACACUAACUGGAGGACCGAACCGACUACCGUUGAAAAGUUAGCGGAUGACCUGUGGAUCGGAGUGAAAGGCUAAUCAAGCUCGGAGAUAGCUGGUUCUCCUCGAAAGCUAUUUAGGUAGCGCCUCAUGUAUCACUGUAGGGGGUAGAGCACUGUUUCGGCUAGGGGGUCAUCCCGACUUACCAAACCGAUGCAAACUCCGAAUACCUACAAGUGCCGAGCAUGGGAGACACACGGCGGGUGCUAACGUCCGUCGUGAAAAGGGAAACAACCCAGACCGUCAGCUAAGGUCCCAAAGUCAUGGUUAAGUGGGAAACGAUGUGGGAAGGCUUAGACAGCUAGGAGGUUGGCUUAGAAGCAGCCACCCUUUAAAGAAAGCGUAAUAGCUCACUAGUCGAGUCGGCCUGCGCGGAAGAUGUAACGGGGCUCAAACCAUGCACCGAAGCUACGGGUAUCAUCUUUUGAUGAUGCGGUAGAGGAGCGUUCUGUAAGCCUGUGAAGGUGAGUUGAGAAGCUUGCUGGAGGUAUCAGAAGUGCGAAUGCUGACAUGAGUAACGACAAUGGGUGUGAAAAACACCCACGCCGAAAGACCAAGGUUUCCUGCGCAACGUUAAUCGACGCAGGGUUAGUCGGUCCCUAAGGCGAGGCUGAAAAGCGUAGUCGAUGGAAAACAGGUUAAUAUUCCUGUACUUCUGGUUAUUGCGAUGGAGGGACGGAGAAGGCUAGGCCAGCCUGGCGUUGGUUGUCCAGGUUUAAGGUGGUAGGCUGAGAUCUUAGGUAAAUCCGGGAUCUCAAGGCCGAGAGCUGAUGACGAGUGUUCUUUAGAACACGAAGUGGUUGAUGCCAUGCUUCCAAGAAAAGCUUCUAAGCUUCAGGUAACCAGGAACCGUACCCCAAACCGACACAGGUGGUUGGGUAGAGAAUACCAAGGCGCUUGAGAGAACUCGGGUGAAGGAACUAGGCAAAAUGGCACCGUAACUUCGGGAGAAGGUGCGCCGGUGAGGGUGAAGCAUUUACUGCGUAAGCCCACGCCGGUCGAAGAUACCAGGCCGCUGCGACUGUUUAUUAAAAACACAGCACUCUGCAAACACGAAAGUGGACGUAUAGGGUGUGACGCCUGCCCGGUGCCGGAAGGUUAAUUGAUGGGGUUAGCGCAAGCGAAGCUCUUGAUCGAAGCCCCGGUAAACGGCGGCCGUAACUAUAACGGUCCUAAGGUAGCGAAAUUCCUUGUCGGGUAAGUUCCGACCUGCACGAAUGGCGUAACGAUGGCGGCGCUGUCUCCACCCGAGACUCAGUGAAAUUGAAAUCGCUGUGAAGAUGCAGUGUAUCCGCGGCUAGACGGAAAGACCCCGUGAACCUUUACUAUAGCUUUGCACUGGACUUUGAAUUUGCUUGUGUAGGAUAGGUGGGAGGCUUUGAAGCGUGGACGCCAGUCUGCGUGGAGCCAACCUUGAAAUACCACCCUGGCAACUUUGAGGUUCUAACUCAGGUCCGUUAUCCGGAUCGAGGACAGUGUAUGGUGGGUAGUUUGACUGGGGCGGUCUCCUCCUAAAGAGUAACGGAGGAGUACGAAGGUGCGCUCAGACCGGUCGGAAAUCGGUCGUAGAGUAUAAAGGCAAAAGCGCGCUUGACUGCGAGACAGACACGUCGAGCAGGUACGAAAGUAGGUCUUAGUGAUCCGGUGGUUCUGUAUGGAAGGGCCAUCGCUCAACGGAUAAAAGGUACUCCGGGGAUAACAGGCUGAUACCGCCCAAGAGUUCAUAUCGACGGCGGUGUUUGGCACCUCGAUGUCGGCUCAUCACAUCCUGGGGCUGAAGCCGGUCCCAAGGGUAUGGCUGUUCGCCAUUUAAAGUGGUACGCGAGCUGGGUUUAGAACGUCGUGAGACAGUUCGGUCCCUAUCUGCCGUGGACGUUUGAGAUUUGAGAGGGGCUGCUCCUAGUACGAGAGGACCGGAGUGGACGAACCUCUGGUGUUCCGGUUGUCACGCCAGUGGCAUUGCCGGGUAGCUAUGUUCGGAAAAGAUAACCGCUGAAAGCAUCUAAGCGGGAAACUUGCCUCAAGAUGAGAUCUCACUGGAACCUUGAGUUCCCUAAAGGGCCGUCGAAGACUACGACGUUGAUAGGUUGGGUGUGUAAGCGCUGUGAGGCGUUGAGCUAACCAAUACUAAUUGCCCGUGAGGCUUGACC
rnacentral:rRNA from 1 species